UCAGAAUGAACGCUGGCGGCAUGCCUAACACAUGCAAGUCGAACGAAUUACCUUCGGGUAGUUAGUGGCGCACGGGUGCGUAACGCGUGGGAAUCUGCCCCUUGGUUCGGAAUAACAGUUGGAAACGACUGCUAAUACCGGAUGACGACGUAAGUCCAAAGAUUUAUCGCCGAGGGAUGAGCCCGCGUAGGAUUAGGUAGUUGGUGUGGUAAAGGCGCACCAAGCCGACGAUCCUUAGCUGGUCUGAGAGGAUGAUCAGCCACACUGGGACUGAGACACGGCCCAGACUCCUACGGGAGGCAGCAGUGGGGAAUAUUGGACAAUGGGCGAAAGCCUGAUCCAGCAAUGCCGCGUGAGUGAUGAAGGCCUUAGGGUUGUAAAGCUCUUUUACCCGGGAUGAUAAUGACAG
rnacentral:rRNA from 1 species